ensembl:lncRNA
UACAUUUCCUGAUUUUAAUUAAACUUCAUCAAUUUGUUCGUUGUAUGAUGCCAAUCGCAUAUAUGUGACUAUUAGGAGUCAAAAUUAUAGCGCCACCAACUGGCAGCAGGAAGUGUGUCAUUUUCAAAAUGCUUUGAAUUCAGCAUCUUAUUUUUACUCAAUUUGCUUCAAACUUCAUCAGAAUAAUGACAAAACACGGCCCAUGUAAAACUGUUGAGGGGAUAUUGAUAUCUAAUAUAGUGUUGCCAUGGCAACAUAUCAAACUGGAAUAUUUUUCUGUAUAAUAUAUUCUGAUUUUGAGGCAGAUAACAUGCUUAGAAUUUCAUGAAACUCAGAACACAUAUCAGUAUUAAUGAUAGCUAGACACUGGCAAAAGGUCAUAAAAGGGCGUGGAGGAGGCACUCUAUAGCGCCACCUUUUGUCAAAAGUGGGGGGGUUAUUUUUAGCUACAGACACCAAACUCGGUACAUAUAUUGUUCUUAUUAAGACGGACAACUUUCUAAUUUACAGUCAUUAGCUACGACCAACAGGAAGUCGGCUAUUUUGAUUUGAAUAUGGAUUUUUGGCUCUGUGUGAGGAGUGUAUGUGUGCUGAGACUUUCAUUGCCUGAGAGAAAUUGCGCCUCUACAGGAGCAAUUCCCGGGACUGAGAGGGAGGAGUCUCGCUUAGUUUCAC